AAAAAGGAGCGUGUUUAAUUUGCAUGAGGGUCUCCUCACACAGACAUUUGUUAAUAGAGACUUUGAGCUGUGCUGGGCAGACCCUUGACAUGGGAUGAGCGACAGAUCUUCCAGCAGUUUUGGAUGAGAAGAAAUUCCCUUCUGGUGUGGCUGUUCCAGGAGAGGACAGGACAGCAGGUGCCAUGCAUGGAGAUGAGCAAAACUGCAAGAGUGGGGGAAAACUGAGGCACAGCACUCUGCAGCAAGGGGAGCCAAAGGCUGCAAAACUCUAUGGAAUGCAAACUGGGAGACUCCAGCUGAAACCUUUCUUACUUUGGCUCACUCCUAUCAUGGAUGACUUUUCCUGACCGCAAUACUUUCAUCUGUGGACGGCUGGGAAACGCUGCUUGGGUGAAUCAAGCUGCUGCCCGCAGGCUGGAUCUCUCCCAUGGGGACAGGGGAUCUGGGAAAGGAUACA
ensembl:lncRNA